GGAGCAGCCGCGUUUCGGGGACCCGGGCAGGCGUGGGGGGCUGCGCUGAGCUCCAGGCCUCCUGCAGAGGUGCAAUAAGAAUCGUAUUACUAAUGUGGUGUCCUCUGGAAUGGUCACAUGAACACAGUUCCCUGCAGAUGUAAUUGGGAGAGAAGGCACAGUCCUGACACAGGGACGGAACAUGCUGCUGGUUUUUCCAUGUCUCGGUCUCCUUCUGCUGAGUAUUCUUCUAUUUCAAUCAUGGGUGUAGCAGCCCAUUUCAACAUACUGAAAACACUCACCCUAGGGCUUUCAAGUCCCUGCUGUGGACAAUCUGCAUGUGACAGCUGAGACAGGAGGAAGAGGCCCAAGGGAACGCAUUCCUGCUAGGACAGAGCUGGCUGGCUGCACAGUGGAGAGUGUUUGCUGGAAGCUGCUACCAGCCAUGGGGCACCUACCCGCCCAGCGGCCCUUGCAUCCAGAUGCAGAGCCCUGGACAAAGGACGGAGCUGUGAAAACAGUGCCUGGAGGAUCUGAUCCCUUCUAGCAAGGCCAAGAGACACGGCUGGGCUGGGGAGGACGGGGUCUCCAGGCCUCACCAUGGCCACUUAUCUAGACGCCAGCAUCAAAAGGUUCAAAGCCCAGGUCACAGGCUCAUGAAAAAAUUAAGCAGGUAUCAAAAAAUAUCACAAAGGCAACAGUUUUAUGACAUGAAAACAUCUAUCAGAGACAAUAUAAACCUGUCUGCUAAUAGAACCAGGUAAAACUGUCUAAAUUAAAUUCCGAAGAAAUUUCAAUUUUAUUUUACUAAUGAUUUUAAAAACUAGCUUUAUUUACCCAACAUGACUAAAGUCCCAUUGACCUGAAAAGCAUUUGGGCUUAUUUACUUAAUUUAUGAGUACUCCUUUAUUUAUAAGUCUAUUCAGUACCAUGUAGACAAUGUUCAAACACAGACAUAUGCACGCAUACAUAAAAAUACAAAUGAACACAAAAAAAUAAAGACUACAUGCUUUUAUUUUUAAAAUUUUAGCCAUGAGACUGGUAAAAUUCACUAGUUUAAAAGGACAGUUGUAUUAAAUUGUGUCUCUGUAAAUGGAACAAUUUAAAAUGUAUCUGUCCUACAUGGUUGAAGUCCUUACCUUACAGAGUUUUAGAGAAAGCAGGGUAGCAAAUUUACAUCUCAAAGCACAGAGAGAAUUUUAGCUUUCUCAAGGAGGAGUUUGAGUGUGUUAGAGCAAGAUUAAAAAUGGAUUUCAAGGUAACAAAAAGUUAUAGAAAUCCACCACAGGAUGUUUUUCAUUUUGUUUUUGGAGGCAGGGUCUCACUCUGUCGCUGAGGCUGGAGCGCAAUGGCGCAAUCAUGGCUCACUGAAGUCUCGACCUGGGUUCAAGCAAUCCCUUUGCCUGAACCUCCUGAGUAGCUGCUACUAUAGGCACACGUCAUCAACCUGGCUAAUUUAAAAAUAUAUAUAUAUUUAUAUAUAAAAUAUAAAAUAUAUUCUAAUAUAUUUAUAAUAUUUUAUAUAUUUAUAAU
rnacentral:lncRNA from 1 species